rnacentral:rRNA from 1 species
GGAUUAGAUACCCGGGUAGUCUUGGCCCUAAACGAUGUUCACUAGGUGUCGGGGAUUUUCUUCGGUGCCGCAGCUAACGCAUUAAGUGAACCGCCUGGGGACUACGACCGCAAGGUUGAAACUCAAAGGAAUUGGCGGGGGCCCGCACAAGCGGUGGAGCAUGUGGCUUAAUUCGAUGCAACGCGAAGAACCUUACCAGGGUUUGACAUGUAACUGCAAGCUCCCGAAAUGGAGUCGCUUUCGAAGGUGUUACACAGGUGGUGCAUGGCUGUCGUCAGCUCGUGUUGUGAAAUGUUGGGUUAAGUCCCGCAACG